GACGAACGCUGGCGGCGUGCUUAACACAUGCAAGUCGAACGGAAAGGCCCUGCUUUCAGGGUACUCGAGUGGCGAACGGGUGAGUAACACGUGGGUGAUCUGCCCUGCACUUCGGGAUAAGCUUGGGCAACUGAGUCUAAUACCGGACAGGAACGCUCUUUAGUGUGUGUGGUGGAAAGUUUUUUCGGUGUAGGAUGAGCUCGCGGCCUAUCAGCUUGUUGGUGGGGUAAUGGCCUACCAAGGCGGCGACGGGUAGCCGGCCUGAGAGGGUGUACGGCCACAUUGGGACUGAGAGACAGCCCAGAGUCCUACGUGAGGCAGCAGUGGGGAAUAUUUCACAAUGGGCGCAAGCCUGAGGCAUCGACGCCGCGUGGGGGAUGAAGGCCUUCGGGUUGUAAACUCCUAUCGCUAGGGACGAAGCUUUGUUGUGACGGUACCUAGAUAAGAAGCACCGGCUAACUACGUG
rnacentral:rRNA from 1 species